rnacentral:rRNA from 1 species
UACGUAGGGUGCGAGCGUUGUCCGGAAUUAUUGGGCGUAAAGAGCUCGUAGGCGGUGUGUCACGUCGUUCGUGAAAACCUGCAGCUUAACUGUGGGCGUGCGGUCGAUACGGGCAUCACUGGAGUUCGGCAGGGGAGACUGGAAUUCCUGGUGUAGCGGUGAAAUGCGCAGAUAUCAGGAGGAACACCGGUGGCGAAGGCGGGUCUCUGGGCCGAAAUUGACGCUGAGGAGCGAAAGCGUGGGGAGCAAACGGG